rnacentral:rRNA from 1 species
CGCGGGUAUCCUGCAGUGAAUACAUAGCUGCUGGAAGCGAACCUGGUGAACUGAAAUAUCUAAGUAACCAGAGGAAAAGAAAUCAACCGAGAUUCCGUAAGUAGCGACGAGCGAACGCGGACUAGCCCUUAAGCUGGAUUGGUUCUAGGAAAACGCUCUGGAAAGAGCGGCCAUAGAAGGUGAUAGCCCUGUAUCUGAAAGGGCCAUUCCAGUGAAGACGAGUAGGGCGGGGCACGUGAAACCCUGUCUGAACAUGGGGGGACCAUCCUCCAAGGCUAAAUACUACUGACCGACCGAUAGUGAACCAGUACCGUGAGGGAAAGGCGAAAAGAACCCCGGAGAGGGGAGUGAAAUAGAACCUGAAACCGUGUGCGUACAAGCAGUAGGAGCUCCGCAAGGAGUGACUGCGUACCUUUUGUAUAAUGGGUCAGCGACUUACUGUUCGUGGCAAGCUUAACCGUAUAGGGGAGGCGAAGGGAAACCGAGUCUGAUAAGGGCGCAUAGUCGCGGGCAGUAGACCCGAAACCGGGUGAUCUAGUCAUGCCCAGGGUGAAGGUGCGGUAACACGCACUGGAGGCCCGAACCCACUCCCGUUGCAAAGGUAGGGGAUGAGGUGUGAUUAGGAGUGAAAAGCUAAUCGAACCCGGAGAUAGCUGGUUCUCCUCGAAAGCUAUUUAGGUAGCGCCUCAUAUGUAUCCUCUCGGGGGUAGAGCACUGUUAUGGCUAGGGGGUCAUCGCGACUUACCAAACCAUUGCAAACUCCGAAUACCGAGACGGACUGUAUGGGAGACACACGGCGGGUGCUAACGUCCGUCGUGAAAAGGGAAACAACCCAGACCCACAGCUAAGGUCCCAAAUUCACUGCUAAGUGGAAAACCAUGUGGAAAGGCACAGACAGCCAGGAGGUUGGCUUAGAAGCAGCCACCCUUUAAAGAAAGCGUAAUAGCUCACUGGUCGAGUCGGUCUGCGGGGAAGAUUUAACGGGGCUAAGCAGUGAACCGAAGCUUGGGGUGCAUACUUUGUAUGCGCGGUAGAGGAGCGUUCCGUAAGCCGUUGAAGGUGGAUUGAGAAGUCUGCUGGAGGUAUCGGAAGUGCGAAUGCUGACAUGAGUAACGAUAAUGCGGGUGAAAAA